rnacentral:snRNA from 1 species
AUUGCUUCUCGGCCUUUUGGCUAAGAUCAAGUGAAGUAUAGUAAAUUUGCAAUGUUGCCAUAAUUUCUGAUGUACAACAAAGCGAUUCAGUUAUAAAUCUAUACACAUUCAUUCUCUUUGAGAUUAUAUUCCCACAAAGAUUACUGGGUAGAGUUAUCUCUGCUA